CGUCUUUUUCAGAGCGCUGUUUUCAUCUUUUUGCGCCUUUAUCUUUGCUAAAGCGCAUUCCAGCAAGUAGUCUUUAUACUCAAGCUGAGAAGACAUCAUGACAGACAUGCAUCUAGUGAGCUCUUUGUCACGAAGUGUCGUGGUUAAGGCUGUUUCCAGUAAGUCAGCCAUUUCAUCCUCCGGAUUGGAGGGUUUGGCCUUUUGAAUCUUAGUCAUGUACUGAGGUAUCAACUGACUAGUCAAGUUUGCCAACACUGUGUGUAUGUCCCUCAGGGGGUCUCCCUGGCUGGACUCUUUUGUGUUAGGCAUGUUUGGUUUUGGUAAAGAGGUGCAGCUGGUUGGUUGAUGAGUUUGAGUUGACUUAAAAUAAAAGGAAGAAGCAAAAUAUCAAACUAAGUGGGUUAAUCGACUUAAUUUAUCAGUGCUUGAUAAAGAGAAAGAGCCUAUCUGAGUAGAUCUCUAAUGGAGAGAAAAAUAACAUAAAGUUAAAUUCAUUUCAAUGAAAAUUGAAAACAAAAGGUG
rnacentral:lncRNA from 1 species